UUGCUUUAGCAGCACAUAUACUAAACCUGGAAUGAUACAGAGAAGAUUAGCAUGGCCCCUGCACAUGGAUGACAUGUAAAUUCAUGAAGCAUUCCACAGUUUU
rnacentral:snRNA from 1 species